AGCGACCACCCGUCUCAUCUCGGAAGAAGCACUGGUGAAACGGGAACUUCU
rfam:Oesophagostomum dentatum strain OD-Hann O_dentatum-1.0_Cont24854.1, whole genome shotgun sequence.